rnacentral:rRNA from 1 species
UGAGGAAUAUUGGACAAUGGGCGCAAGCCUGAUCCAGCCAUGCCGCGUGCAGGAAGAAGCAUCUAUGGUGUGUAAACUGCUUUUGUACGGGAAGAAACACUCCUACGUGUAGGAGCUUGACGGUACCGUAAGAAUAAGGAUCGGCUAACUCCGUGCCAGCAGCCGCGGUAAUACGGAGGAUCCAAGCGUUAUCCGGAAUCAUUGGGUUUAAAGGGUCCGUAGGCGGUUUAAUAAGUCAGUGGUGAAAGCCCAUCGCUCAACGAUGGAACGGCCAUUGAUACUGCGGGCCAUGAGUAAGGUAGAGGUAGCUGGAAUAAGUAGUGUAGCGGUGAAAUGCAUAGAUAUUACAUGGAAUACCAAUUGCGAAGGCAGGUUACUACUAAUGGAUUGACGCUGAUGGACGAAAGCGGGGGGAGCAAACA